rnacentral:rRNA from 2 species
GCAUAUCAAUAAGCGGAGGAAAAGAAACCAACAGUGAUUGCCCCAGUAACGGCGAGUGAAGCGGCAACAGCUCAAAUUUGAAAUCUGGCCCCCCGGCCCGAGUUGUAAUUUGCAGAGGAUGCUUUUGGUGAGGCACCUACCGAGUCCCCUGGAAUGGGGCGCCAUAGAGGGUGAGAGCCCCGUAUGGUAGGACGCCGAACCUCUGUAAAGCUCCUUCGACGAGUCGAGUAGUUUGGGAAUGCUGCUCUAAAUGGGAGGUAAAUUUCUUCUAAAGCUAAAUACCGGCCAGAGACCGAUAGCGCACAAGUAGAGUGAUCGAAAGAUGAAAAGCACUUUGAAAAGAGGGUUAAAAAGUACGUGAAAUUGUUGAAAGGGAAGCGCUUGUGACCAGACUUGCGCCGGGCGGAUCAUCCAGCGUUCUCGCUGGUGCACUCCGCCCGGUUCAGGCCAGCAUCGGUUUUCGCCGGGGGACAAAGGCUUCGGGAACGUGGCUCCUUUCGGGGAGUGUUAUAGCCCGUUGCGUAAUACCCCGGCGGGGACCGACGACCGCGCUUCGGCAAGGAUGCUGGCGUAAUGGUCAUCAGCGACCCGUCUUGAAACACGGACCGAGGAGUCAAGCAUUAGUGCGAGUGUUUGGGUGUAAAACCCGCACGCGUAAUGAAAGUGAACGUAGGUGAGAGCUUCGGCGCAUCAUCGACCGAUCCUGAUGUUUUCGGAAGGAUUUGAGUAGGAGCAUUAACGCUUGGACCCGAAAGAUGGUGAACUAUACUUGAAUAGGGUGAAGCCAGAGGAAACUCUGGUGGAGGCUCGCAGCGGUUCUGACGUGCAAAUCGAUCGUCAAAUUUGAGUAUAGGGGCGAAAGACUAAUCGAACCAUCUAGUAGCUGGUUUCAGCCGAA